rnacentral:rRNA from 1 species
AGAGUUUGAUCCUGGCUCAGGAUGAACGCUGGCGGCAUGCCUAAUACAUGCAAGUCGAACGAGGAUCCUUCGGGAUCCUAGUGGCGAACGGGUGAGUAACACGUAGGGAACCUGCCCGCGCACCGGGAAUACGCUCUGGAAACGGAGAACAAAUCCCGAUGUACAGGAAGGAGGCAUCUUCUUUCUGUGAAACAUCCUGUAAGGGAUGGGGCGCGGAUGGACCUGCGGUGCAUUAGUUAGUUGGCGAGGGUAAAGGCCCACCAAGACGAUGAUGCAUAGCCGGCCUGAGAGGGCGGACGGCCACAUUGGGACUGAGACACGGCCCAGACUCCUGCGGGAGGCAGCAGUAGGGAAUUUUCGUCAAUGGGCGCAAGCCUGAACGAGCGAUGCCGCGUGAGUGAAGAAGGCCUUCGGGUCGUAAAGCUCUGUUGCGGGGGAAAAAAGGCAUCUGCAGGAAAUGGUAGAUGACAGAUGGUGCCCCGCCAGAAAGUCACGGCUAGCUACGUGCCAGCAGCCGCGGUAAUACGUAGGUGGCGAGCGUUAUCCGGAAUGAUUGGGCGUAAAGGGUGCGCAGGCGGUCCUGCAAGUCUAGAGUGAAACGUAUGAGCUCAACUCAUGCAUGGCUCUGGAAACUGGAGGACUGGAGAGCAGGAGAGGGCGGUGGAACUCCAUGUGUAGCGGUAAAAUGCGUAGAUAUAUGGAAGAACACCAGUGGCGAAGGCGGCCGCCUGGCCUGUUGCUGACGCUGAAGCACGAAAGC